AUUAACGUGACGUACGGCCGGUGUGCACGUUUUCCUGACGCUGUCACGUGCUCCACCACCUGUUCACCUGUAGGUUACACCUGAGCGGCCGGUCACUUUAUUCUACACCUGAGCUUUCGGGCAGAAGUACCUGAGCAUCCCGAAACUCCACCACCACAUUCUCACUGCUCCAGCGGGCCGCCAUCUUCCUGCGUCUUCUACCGUCAACAAAACGUCACGUGAUCGCGAUGAGACGACACGCUGCGUUCACGGUCUCUGGGAAAACCGGAAAUAUCACCAUUUGAGGAAUUAUGUCCGUAAAGAUACCAACAAAUACGUUUAAUGAUGGUUUGUUUUGGCGAGUGAAGUCAUAUUAAUAAGGCUGAGAUAUUAACCAUUACGUGAACAACAUUUAGGUCCAAAUUGUAACGUUUCCUCUGGUUCAAAACUCAUAUAACAAUGUUUUCAGCGUUUUUCUGAGGACGUUAAAGUUAAUUUAGCUUACUUACUCGCGCACACAACAAACCGAAUGACCUGAGGCUGCUUCCUCUCUUCUGAUUGGUCGCUCCAGGUGCUGGUCAUCGAUCCAAGAUGGCGUCUUCCCUGGUGGAGCAUGUUGUCGCAGAUGCAGGAGCGUUUUUAAAGAAAGCCCCUCUCCAGGAUAUCGGCAGAAACAUCUACACACUGAAAGAUGUGGUGGACGAGAUCAGAGACAAACCCACCAGGAGGAGUCUGGCCUUUCUGCCAUACCAGCUGAACUUCAAAGAACCACAUCCUGAACACGUCAGACUGGGUAAAGUAAACUACACCUGAA